GAGCAAGAUUAUGUUUAGUGGAGGCAGGCAAAACAGGUGAGCAGUCCAAAAAAUCUAGAAAUCCACAGAAGAGGCAGGGAUGCUUGACAAAAUGAAGAAGACAAAGAUGAAAUGACAACAGACAAAGGGAAACAUAGUGACUUAAAUACACAAGUGAGGGGCUGAUAACAAGACACUGAUAACAAGGACAGACAACCAGAUGGGAAAACACAGGAAGUGAAAUCAACAAAGACAUGUGAGGAGGAACACUUUCAAAAUAAAACAAGAAAUAGCAAAUAUCAAAUCCAAACCAUGACAAAUGCUGAUUAGAUUUUUUAAAUCUGGUGUCUGGGGCAACAUUCCUGCGCUGGUGGACCUGUGGGGAUGCGUUUAACAUCAAUCGUGACCGGUUUGCCAGAGUUUAAGGGGGAAGCAACUGUAUGCCACAGAGCCUGUUGUCAUGACUCCUGCAUCGUCACCUGAGUUUGAGAAUGAGUGGGUGUGUUGUUGAUUUGUUUUUUCCCUUUGGGUGAGUGAGGCAUGCUUGGUGUGUUUUUUGUUUCUGUUUUUUCUCUCCUCCCUUCUCUCAGUUAGAGUCCUGGGCGUGUCUGGCUUCCUGGGUUGGCACAAGCUGCAUCUGCUGACAAGCACACUCCUGUUCCUGAUCAGCCAUCUCCACCACUUCUUAAGGAGAGGCCAGACAUCCAUUCCCUGCCGGAAUGUUAAGUCAUAUGCGAUUGCCUGUUCUACCUGCCCCACCUGCCUGCCAGUUCCAAGCCUCUGGAGCCACUAGAAGAUCCAAUCCAGCCAGCCAUGCCAGCCCCAGCCCUCACUUUCCAACUGCUUGGAAGGAAACUCCCUGCUUCCUCAAUUUACCCACUCUGCCUUUAUCAAUAAACUGUUAAAACUG